rnacentral:rRNA from 1 species
UACGGGGGGGGCAAGCGUUGUUCGGAAUGACUGGGCGUAAAGGGCGCGUAGGCGGUUUGUACAGUCAGAUGUGAAAUUCCUGGGCUCAACCUGGGGGCUGCAUUUGAUACGUAUGGACUGGAGUGAGGAAGAGGGUCGUGGAAUUCCCAGUGUAGAGGUGAAAUUCGUAGAUAUUGGGAAGAACACCGGUGGCGAAGGCGGCGACCUGGUCCUUUACUGACGCUGAGGCGCGAAAGCGUGGGGAGCAAACAGG